rnacentral:rRNA from 1 species
GACGAACGCUGGCGGCGUGCUUAACACAUGCAAGUCGAGCGGUAAGGCCCUUUCGGGGGUACACGAGCGGCGAACGGGUGAGUAACACGUGGGUGACCUGCCCUCAGCUCUGGGAUAAGCCUGGGAAACCGGGUCUAAUACUGGAUAUGACUCCAUGACGCAUGUUGUGGGGUGGAAAGCCUUGUGCGGCUGAGGAUGGGCCCGCGGCCUAUCAGCUUGUUGGUGGGGUGAGGCCUACCAAGGCGACGACGGGUAGCCGGCCUGAGAGGGCGGCCGGCCACACUGGGACUGAGACACGGCCCAGACUCCUACGG